rnacentral:rRNA from 1 species
CCCUUAGAUGUUCUGGGCCGCACGCGCGCUACAAUGAUGAAUUCAACGAGUUUAUAACCUUGGUUGAAAAGCCUGGGUAAUCUUUUGAACUUUCGUCGUGAUGGGGCUAGACCCUUGCAAUUAUUGGUCUCCAACGAGGAAUUCCUAGUAAACGCAAGUCAUCAGCUUGCAUUGAUUACGUCCCUGCCCUUUGUACACACCGCCCGUCGCACCUACCGAUUGAGUGGUCCGGUGAGGCUUUGGGAUCUGAGCGGAAAGAGCGUUUCGCUGUUUCUGCUCGGAAAACUCAGUCGAACCUUAUCAUUUAGAGGAAGGAGAAGUCGUAACA